rnacentral:rRNA from 1 species
CCUUUUGUAGAAUGAACCGGCGAGUUACGAUUUGAUGCAAGGUUAAGCAGUAAAUGUGGAGCCGUAGCGAAAGCGAGUCUGAAUAGGGCGUUUAGUAUUUGGUCGUAGACCCGAAACCAGGUGAUCUACCCUUGGUCAGGUUGAAGUUCAGGUAACACUGAAUGGAGGACCGAACCGACUUACGUUGAAAAGUGAGCGGAUGAACUGAGGGUAGCGGAGAAAUUCCAAUCGAACCUGGAGAUAGCUGGUUCUCUCCGAAAUAGCUUUAGGGCUAGCCUCAAGUGAUGAUUAUUGGAGGUAGAGCACUGUUUGGACGAGGGGCCCCUCUCGGGUUACCGAAUUCAGACAAACUCCGAAUGCCAAUUAAUUUAACUUGGGAGUCAGAACAUGGGUGAUAAGGUCCGUGUUCGAAAGGGAAACAGCCCAGACCACCAGCUAAGGUCCCAAAAUAUAUGUUAAGUGGAAAAGGAUGUGGCGUUGCCCAGACAACUAGGAUGUUGGCUUAGAAGCAGCCAUCAUUUAAAGAGUGCGUAAUAGCUCACUAGUCGAGUGACACUGCGCCGAAAAUGUACCGGGGCUAAACAUAUUACCGAAGCUGUGGAUUGUCCUUUGGACAAUGGUAGGAGAGCGUUCUAAGGGCGUUGAAGCAUGAUCGUAAGGACAUGUGGAGCGCUUAGAAGUGAGAAUGCCGGUGUGAGUAGCGAAAGACGGGUGAGAAUCCCGUCCACCGAUUGACUAAGGUUUCCAGAGGAAGGCUCGUCCGCUCUGGGUUAGUCGGGUCCUAAGCUGAGGCCGACAGGCGUAGGCGAUGGAUAACAGGUUGAUAUUCCUGUACCACCUAUAAUCGUUUUAAUCGAUGGGGGGACGCAGUAGGAUAGGCGAAGCGUGCGAUUGGAUUGCACGUCUAAGCAGUAAGGCUGAGUAUUAGGCAAAUCCGGUACUCAUUAAGGCUGAGCUGUGAUGGGGAGAAGACAUUGUGUCUUCGAGUCGUUGAUUUCACACUGCCGAGAAAAGCCUCUAGAUAGAAAAUAGGUGCCCGUACCGCAAACCGACACAGGUAGUCAAGAUGAGAAUUCUAAGGUGAGCGAGCGAACUCUCGUUAAGGAACUCGGCAAAAUGACCCCGUAACUUCGGGAGAAGGGGUGCUCUUUAGGGUUAACGCCCAGAAGAGCCGCAGUGAAUAGGCCCAAGCGACUGUUUAUCAAAAACACAGGUCUCUGCUAAACCGUAAGGUGAUGUAUAGGGGCUGACGCCUGCCCGGUGCUGGAAGGUUAAGAGGAGUGGUUAGCUUCUGCGAAGCUACGAAUCGAAGCCCCAGUAAACGGCGGCCGUAACUAUAACGGUCCUAAGGUAGCGAAAUUCCUUGUCGGGUAAGUUCCGACCCGCACGAAAGGCGUAACGAUUUGGGCACUGUCUCAACGAGAGACUCGGUGAAAUCAUAGUACCUGUGAAGAUGCAGGUUACCCGCGACAGGACGGAAAGACCCCGUGGAGCUUUACUGUAGCCUGAUAUUGAAAUUCGGCACAGCUUGUACAGGAUAGGUAGGAGCCUUUGAAACGUGAGCGCUAGCUUACGUGGAGGCGCUGGUGGGAUACUACCCUAGCUGUGUUGGCUUUCUAACCCGCACCACUUAUCGUGGUGGGAGACAGUGUCAGGCGGGCAGUUUGACUGGGGCGGUCGCCUCCUAAAAGGUAACGGAGGCGCUCAAAGGUUCCCUCAGAAUGGUUGGAAAUCAUUCAUAGAGUGUAAAGGCAUAAGGGAGCUUGACUGCGAGACCUACAAGUCGAGCAGGGUCGAAAGACGGACUUAGUGAUCCGGUGGUUCCGCAUGGAAGGGCCAUCGCUCAACGGAUAAAAGCUACCCCGGGGAUAACAGGCUUAUCUCCCCCAAGAGUUCACAUCGACGGGGAGGUUUGGCACCUCGAUGUCGGCUCAUCGCAUCCUGGGGCUGUAGUCGGUCCCAAGGGUUGGGCUGUUCGCCCAUUAAAGCGGUACGCGAGCUGGGUUCAGAACGUCGUGAGACAGUUCGGUCCCUAUCCGUCGUGGGCGUAGGAAAUUUGAGAGGAGCUGUCCUUAGUACGAGAGGACCGGGAUGGACAUACCUCUGGUGUACCAGUUGUCGUGCCAACGGCAUAGCUGGGUAGCUAUGUGUGGACGGGAUAAGUGCUGAAAG